CAGCCUGAGGCCGCGGCCGGGUGCCCUCCUGCCCUCCUGGCCAUCCAGGGAUUGGGUGUCAGUGGCCUGUUGCACACUGUCACUUCUACAAGUGACUAACACCGUCAGGAUAAUCUAAAACUACGAAUACUACCUGACUCCACAAGGGUACGGUGUAUUCUCCAGUUUUAGCAUCUGCCUUAAAAAUUACCUCAGAGUUAAGCACUGCUGGGGACUUAUUUCUACUCUUGGCAGGAGGAGAAAAGGAAAUGACAUCAGAGGUGCUUUGCUAAAGAUCACAGGAACUGCAGCUGUGGCCUUCCUAUUUAGCAGAUUCCCAUCAGAGUACAGUAAAACAAAAAUUAAAUAGAAUUCAUAUAUUUGAAAUCCUUGGCAUCAAUUCACUCCAGGAAUCCAAGACAGUACUCAACUGAAGGGGAAGCAAGCACAAGGGAGAUUUCUGGGACACUGAUACUGUUCCGUUUCUUCAUCUGAAUGCUGCUUAUGGGCCUUGUUCAAUUUGUGAAAAUUCAUGACUUUGUACAUUUAUGUUAAUUUCCCAGACACCCUACAGUUAGGGGUGACUUAUGACUGAAUUGACAGCCAAUGCAACAGAAGACUUGGUCCAUGAAAACCUCCCAUGCAAUAUCCCUUCCAUGCUCUUUUCUACCUGCUGGAUUGAUCGAGCUGAGCAUGCAACCUUGAAAAAAAAAGCCUUGAGGAGGGUAGAGUCACAAGAUGGAAGGAGCAUACAUCAUUACUUGCAGAGGGCCACUGGCCAACUGGGAACCUUUUUGGGACUGUAUGGGACCAAGAAAUAAAUUUAUUUCCUAUUUGA
rnacentral:antisense_RNA from 1 species